AAGUCUGACGGAGCGACGCCGCGUGUGCGAAGAAUGUCGAGAGAUUGUAAAGCACUUUUAUAUGUGAGGAAUAAGCGUAGUCAGGAAAUGGGCAUGUGAUCGACGUUUGCAUAUGAAUAAGCUCCGGCCAAUUACGUGCCAGCAGCCGCGGUAACACGUAAGGAGCSAGCGUUUUUCGGAAUUAUUGGGCGUAAAGGGCAUGUAGGCGGUUAAAUAAGUCUGAUGUGAAAGCGCACACCUCAACUGURAUGUUGCGUUGGAAACUGGUUAACUUGAAUCCGAGAGGGGUGGUGUGGAAUUCCUAGUCUAGGGGUGAAAUCUCGUUGAUAUUAGGAAGAACACCAG
rnacentral:rRNA from 1 species